AAAAAAGCCUCAAAUAUCGGGACUGUCCCUAUAAAAUAAGGACAUCUGGUCACCCUACCCCCUAGGCAAUUUAUUCCAGUGCUUAGCAGCAUCCCAGAGGGGCUAGCAGAGACAAGCGAGAUCAUACAGAGUUAAUCAUCAACUCUGUCCCUUCAUCAUUCCCCCUUCUCCUCCUCACUGACCCCUUCUGCCAUUACCUCUCAACAACCAAUGGGAGAAUGAGUGGGAGGGCUCAGGAAAUAAAAGGGAGGAGGGGCUGAAAUGGUGCAGUGCCAGCAAUCUCUGGGUCCUACAGAUGAACCCUGCAUGGAGCAGGCCCAAUUCAUUUAACUCGCUGCAGCUGCUUGGGAUCAGGGGGGCUGAAGGCGGUUUGAUCUUGGUGGAAGGGAUUGCGAUUUGUUACUUGCCAACCACCAGUAUGCUCGGAGCUAUACGGAUUAAUUAAACCCCAUACCCCUUCACCCUGAAGAGCUUACAGUGGAAAUCCAUGAUGAAUGGAUGAGAUGUAUAAACGGGUGUACUGUGCUCAUCUGGCUAUCGGUGCUCGGUAUCCCAGCCCAGGAAUACAAACUAUAGAUCUGAUCUGAGUGGC
rnacentral:lncRNA from 1 species